rnacentral:rRNA from 1 species
CAGCCGCCACGGGAAUACGUAGGUGGCGAGUGUUGUCCGGAAUUAUUGGGCGUAAAGGGAGCGCAGGCGGACAUAUAAGUCCAUCUUAAAAGUGCGGGGCUCAACCCCGUGAGGGGAUGGAAACUGUAUGCCUUGAGUGCAGGAGAGGAAAGCGGAAUUCCCAGUGUAGCGGUGAAAUGCGUAGAUAUUGGGAGGAACACCAGUGGCGAAGGCGGCUUUCUGGACUGUAACUGACGCUGAGGCUCGAAAGCCAGGGGAGCGAACGGGAUUAGAUACCCCUGUAGUCCCUGUCUCUUAUACA